rnacentral:lncRNA from 1 species
UCUAAUCGAAUAUUGCUCUUAAACGGAGAAUGCAUCAAACAAAAUCCAAAGUGUCUUGCAAGUCUGUAGCAUGAGCAAAAAAUUGUAAAUAUGUAGAACCAAAUUAUUGAAGUACAGAAGAGCGAGCAAGCUAAAUCAUGUAUAAGAGAUUGGCCUGGUUCGGGAUAGAUUCUUCACUGUACCUGAAGGAUUGACUCAAUCUCUUCUUUAGAAUUCUGCAGAUUUUGUAAUUACUCGUGUAAGCAAGCAUACAUUGCCACCAUAAGAAUAAUAAAGUCAUACAUUGCCACCAUAAGAAUAAUAAAGUUAGAGUAAUGAUAUGACCACCACCUCUUGUGCACAAAUAAUAUUAUAUAAACUAAUGCAACAUAAUAUGAUUGGUUAAACAAAAACAUUACAUGGCCCUCAUAAUUUAAUAAUUUAUUAAUUUAUUAUUAUUAUAUAUUUUCAGU